GGUCCCAUAGCUCAGUUGGUUAGAGCACCUGACUCAUAAUCAGGGCGUCCUUGGUUCAAGCCCAAGUGGGACCACGA
rnacentral:tRNA from 1 species